rnacentral:rRNA from 1 species
CAGCAGCCACGGGAAUACAGAGGGUGCAAGCGUUAAUCGGAAUUACUGGGCGUAAAGCGCGCGUAGGUGGUUUGUUAAGUUGGAUGUGAAAGCCCCGGGCUCAACCUGGGAACUGCAUCCAAAACUGGCAAGCUAGAGUACGGUAGAGGGUGGUGGAAUUUCCUGUGUAGCGGUGAAAUGCGUAGAUAUAGGAAGGAACACCAGUGGCGAAGGCGACCACCUGGACUGAUACUGACACUGAGGUGCGAAAGCGUGGGGAUCAAACAGGAUUAGAGACCCCUGUAGUCCCUGUCUCUUAUAC